rnacentral:rRNA from 1 species
UGGUCAAGUUAUUAAGGGUGCAGGGCGGAUGCCUUGGCACUAGGAGCCGAUGAAGGACGUGAUAAGCUGCGAUAAGCUUCGGGGAGUUGCACGUAAACUUUGAUCCGAAGAUUUCCGAAUGAGGAAACUCACUUAGAGUAAUGUCUAAGUAUCAUUAAGUGAAUACAUAGCUUAAUGAGGGGAACUCAGGGAACUGAAACAUCUAAGUACCUGAAGGAAGAGAAAGAAAUUCGAUUCCGUAAGUAGCGGCGAGCGAACGCGGAUUAGCCCAAACCAAUAAAGUUUUCUUUAUUGGGGUUGUGGACAUAUCAUAACGAAGAGGUAUCGUAAUUGAAGAGGUUUGGAAAGACCCACCACAGAAGGUAAUAGUCCUGUAUGUUAAACGAGAAGACUUCAGAUAUGAUCCAGAGUACCACGGGACACGUGAAACCCUGUGGGAAGCAGGAGGGACCACCCUCCAAGGCUAAAUACUACCUAGUGACCGAUAGCGUAUAGUACCGUGAGGGAAAGGUGAAAAGAACCCCGGGAGGGGAGUGAAAUAGAACCUGAAACCCUGCACUUACAAGCUGUGGAAGCACAUUUCUUGUGUGACCGCGUACUUUUUGUAGAACGGGCCAACGAGUUACGUUAAGUAGCAAGGUUAAGCACUUAAGGUGCGGAGCCGUAGCGAAAGCGAGUUUUAACUGAGCGUUCAGUUACUUGACGUAGACCCGAAACCGGGCGACCUACCCAUGAGCAGGAUGAAGCGAAAGUAAAAUUUCGUGGAGGUCCGAACCCACGAGCGUUGAAAAGCUCGGGGAUGACUUGUGGGUAGCGGUGAAAUUCCAAUCGAGCCCGGAGAUAGCUGGUUCUCCCCGAAAUAGCUUUAGGGCUAGCCUCAAGGUGAGAGAUACGGAGGUAGAGCACUGAAUGUCCUAGGGGGUAUUGCACCUACCGAAGACUAUCAAACUCCGAAUGCCGUCAUCUUAUACUUGGGAGUCAGACUGUGGGUGAUAAGAUUCAUAGUCGAAAGGGCAACAGCCCAGAUCGUCAGCUAAGGUCCCUAAAUGUAAGUUAAGUGGUAAAGGAUGUGGGAUUGCACAGACAACCAGGAUGUUGGCUUAGAAGCAGCCACUCAUUCAAAGAGUGCGUAAUAGCUCACUGGUCGAGUGAUCCUGCGCCGAAGAUUUCCGGGGCUAAAACUUACUACCGAAGCUACGGCAUCAGUAAUGAUGGGUAGGGGAGCUUCCCAUACGGGUUGAAGCAUGACCGUAAGGACAUGUGGACAGUAUGGGAGUGAGAAUGUUGGCAUGAGUAGCGAGAUGUGGGUGAGAAUCCCACAGGCCGUAAACCCAAGGUUUCCAGGGGAAGGUUCGUCCGCCCUGGGUUAGUCGGGACCUAAGCUGAGGCCGAAAGGCGUAGGUGAUGGACAACAGGUUGAUAUUCCUGUACUACCGAUAACCGUUUGAGAGAAGGGAUGACACAGUAGGAUAAGCUAAGCACACUGUUGGUUAUGUGUGCCCAAGCAUUGAGGCAGUCAAAGUAGGCAAAUCCGCUUUGAUAAUGCUGGGAUGUGAUGGGGAGCGAAAUUUAGUAGCGAAGUAGCUGAUUUCACACUGUCAAGAAAAGUCUCUAUCGAGGUUAAAGGUACCCGUACCGCAAACCGACACAGGUGGGUGAGGAGAGUAUCCUAAGGCCAGCGAGAGAACUGUUGUUAAGGAACUCGGCAAAAUGACCCCGUAACUUAGGGAUAAGGGGUGCCACCAUCAGGUGGCCGCAGAGAAUAGGCCCAAGCGACUGUUUACCAAAAACAUAGGUUUCUGCUAAGUCGCAAGACGAUGUAUAGGAGCUGACGCCUGCCCGGUGCUGGAAGGUUAAGGGGAUCUGUUAGAGCAAUCGAAGCAGUGAACUUAAGCCCCAGUAAACGGCGGCCGUAACUAUAACGGUCCUAAGGUAGCGAAAUUCCUUGUCGGGUAAGUUCCGACCCGCACGAAAGGCGUAACGAUUUGGGCACUGUCUCAACAACAGACUCGGUGAAAUUGUAAUUCCGGUGAAGAUGCCGGAUACCUGCGACAGGACGGAAAGACCCCAUGGAGCUUUACUGUAGCUUGACAUUGGGUCUUGGUACUACAUGUACAGGAUAGGUGGGAGGCUUUGAAACCAGGACGCCAGUUUUGGCGGAGCCAUCCUUGGGAUACCACCCUUGUAGUACUGGGACUCUAACCAUAGGCCAUGAAUCUGGUCUUGGGACACUGUCAGGUGGGCAGUUUGACUGGGGCGGUCGCCUCCCAAAAGGUAACGGAGGCGCUCAAAGGUUCUCUCAGUACGGUCGGAAAUCGUACGUAGAGUGUAAAGGCAAAAGAGAGCUUGAUUGCAAGACAUACAGGUCGAGCAAGGAUGAAAAUCGGACUUAGUGAUCCGGUGGUUCUGCGUGGAAGGGCCAUCGCUCAACGGAUAAAAGCUACCCUGGGGAUAACAGGCUUAUCUCCCCCAAGAGUCCACAUCGACGGGGAGGUUUGGCACCUCGAUGUCGGCUCAUCACAUCCUGGGGCUGUAGUAGGUCCCAAGGGUUGGGCUGUUCGCCCAUUAAAGUGGUACGCGAGCUGGGUUCAGAACGUCGUGAGACAGUUCGGUCCCUAUCCGUCGCAGGCGUAGGAAAUUUGAGAAGACCUGUCCUUAGUACGAGAGGACCGGGAUGGACGUACCUCUGGUGUACCAGUUGUCCUGCCAAGGGCAUGGCUGGGUAGCUAUGUACGGAAUGGAUAAGCGCUGAAAGCAUCUAAGCGCGAAGCCAACUUCAAGAUAAGAUUUCCCACCGCAAGGGUAAGACCCCAGAAAGACUAUCUGGUUGAUAGGUCGAAGGUGUAAGUGCAGCAAUGUAUUUAGCUUAUCGAUACUAAUAGGUCGAGGACUUGACCAAU